AGGUUGACCUCGGAUCAGGUAGGGAUACCCGCUGAACUUAAGCAUAUCAAUAAGCGGAAAGGGGGUGCCCCCGCCCGCCCCCGGGUCCAACUCCCACCCGGGGUUAAUUC
rnacentral:rRNA from 1 species